CGGGACGGGUGAGUAAUGUCUGGGAAACUGCCUGAUGGAGGGGGAUAACUACUGGAAACGGUAGCUAAUACCGCAUAACGUCGCAAGACCAAAGAGGGGGACCUUCGGGCCUCUUGCCAUCGGAUGUGCCCAGAUGGGAUUAGCUAGUAGGUGGGGUAACGCUCACCUAGGCGACGAUCCCUAGCUGGUCUGAGAGGAUGACCAGCCACACUGGAACUGAGACACGGUCCAG
rnacentral:rRNA from 1 species